CGAAGUAUUAAUUUUAUUACAAGGGCAAAAAGCUAAAGUCCUAUCACAAUAUCAUAAUUAUUCUGAAGUUGAAAGAUAUCUAAGGGAUAUUCUCAAUAUCCAGGAUGAGAAAAAUAAGGCCCAGAAAAAGCUAAAUGAUUAACUCAAUGCUACAAACUCCAAUAUAAAGGAGGGAGAGCAUAAAUUUAUUUUAAGAAUACCUGAUCUUGGCUUCCCGGGGAAAGGCAGCGUGAGGGGUAGAAGUUGUAGGGUUAGGGGGCAGGAGUGAGGAGGAGGGAAGAGAAAGGGGGAGGAGGCCGUGGUAGGGCAGGGCGGGGACUGCCUGCCUGGGUUGCGGAAGUGAUAGCUGCUGAUGGAGCCUGCUGCUUUCUCGCUACUGCUUCGGCUUCCUGUGAGGGUGACCCAGCUGUGGAUGAUCAGAUAGCCCCUAUCUCCCACGCCAAUCUCUGGCCCCUACCAGCACGGAGCAGAGAGUGGUGGUGGCAGCAGCAGCAGGUGAGGAGGAAGAUGGCUGGACAGCUGCAGGCCUGUGUGGUGGACUGUGGCAUGGGGUAUGCAAAACUAGAAUAUGCUGGAAAUAGAGAACCACAGUUUAUCAUCCCUUCCUGUAUUGCUAUUAAGGAGUCAGCAAAAAUGGGUGAUCAAGAGCAAAGGAGGAUGAUGAAAGGUGUUGGUGACCUAGACUUCUUCAUUGGUGAUGAAGCCAUAGAAAAACCUACAUAUGCAACAAAGUGGCCAAUCCACCAUGGUAUAGUUGAAGAUUGGGACUUGAUGGAAAGGUUUAUGGAGCAAGUGAUUUUAAAAUAUUUAAGGGCAGAACCUGAAGACCAUUAUUUCCUUUUGACUGAACCUCCACUGAAUACUCCAGAAAACAGGGAAUAUACUGCUGAAAUAAUGUUUGAGUCCUUCAAUGUUCCAGGCUUGUCCAUUGCUAUACAGGCUGUUCGUGCCUUACCUAAACCUUGAACCUCAAGACAAGUAGGAGAAUGGACGUUGACUGGUACAGUAAUAGACAGUGGAGAUGGUGUCAUUCAUGUCCUUCCUGUGGCCGAAGGUUAUGUGAUUGGUAGCUGUAUUAAACACAUUCCAAUUGCAGGACAAGAUAUAAAAUAUUUUAUUCAACAACGGCUGAGACCGAGAAGUAGGAAUUCUUCCAGAACAAUCCCUGGAAACAGCUAAGGCAGUAAAGGGGCGCUAUAGUUAUGUCUGCCCAGAUAUAGUAAAAGAAUUUAACAAGUAUGACACAGAUGGGUCAAAGUGGAUUAAACAGUAUACUGGAAUCAAUGCUAUCUCAAGAAAUAAUUUUCCAUUAAUGUUGGUUAUGAGAGAUUUUUGGGACCUGAAAUCUUUUUUCAUCCAGAGUUUGCCAAUCCAGACUUCACACAACCUAUCUCAGAAGUUGUAGAUGAAGUAAUUCAGAAUUGUCCUAUUGAUGUCAGAUGUCCCCUUUACAAGAAUAUUGUCCUCUCUGGAGGUUCAACCAUGUUCAGGGACUUUGGACGUCGCUUGCAAAGAGAUUUGAAAAGAACUGUAGAUGCCAGGCUGAAAUUAAGUGAGGAACUGAGUGGCGGUAGAUUGAAGCCAAAACCUAUUGAUGUUCAAGUCAUUACACACCACAUGCAGCGAUAUGCAGUUUGGUUUGGAGGAUCUAUGCUGGUUUCCAUGCCUGAGUUCUACCAAGUAUGCCAUACCAAAAAGGAUUAUGAAGAAAUUGGACCUAGCAUUUGUCGUCACAAUCCAGUGUUUGGAGUCAUGUCGUAAAAUUGACUUCAUAGUUAUUGGGGUUAGGGAGGUGGGGAAGAGAUAAUCUUUCUGAUUACUUGUUUUGUCUGGAUGGCUGGUUUUGAGGUUUUAAACCUGACUUGAAAUAGUAACACCAAACAUUAUUAUACAAGAAUAUUUUAAUAAGUGUAUCAACAUGAGAUGUAGAAGGGAGUGGAAAUGAUUAAGUGUUUUUCUUUAGAUUGAAUAUUGGAAUCUUAUGUGUAACAAAAAAGUGGGUUUUAGUUCUUUCUGUGCCCUGAUAUUUUGUGUAUUAAUGAAUUAUUCAAGAUUUGAUGGGAUUUAUCAGUGUGUAGAUAGCUCUAUAAUGCUUGAAUUGUAUACUUCUAAGUGUGCAAUGCAAGAGCUUGUUUAUAUUUCAUACUUUUUACACUUUGAGGAAAAAAUUCAAAGAAAAACUGUAGUAUUUGAAGGGAGAAAAAAGUGACCAAGCAAAAGAUAAAUUAAAAAAAUAGCCUCAUGAGACUUGUCAUAGACCCUUAUAGGAUUCCAGUUAUUUUGAAGUGCUUUCAUCCCCUCCACCCUUUUCCCCCAAAAGGUUUUCUUUGCAAGUGCUUUUGGAAUUAAGAGCUAGUAUCUUGGAUUAACUGAUGCCUGCUAGUGCUUUCUGAUUACUCGCAUUCUGUUUCUUGCUUUAAAAGGAAAGACAAGACUGUUGGACCAGUAAAAAAAAAAAGAAUAUCUAAUGACUAAUUAUAUGGAAAUCUGCUUUAAGAGCAAGCAUAUGGAAAACUGCUGCAUUUACAUAAAAGGAAUUCAUUAAUCUCAGUUUUAGGUAGAUUUUUAUUUAGCCAUCUGAACUUCUCAAGUAUUAUGGCAAAUGCUAAUAAGGUAGUUUUCUGUAAAGUUAGAGGAAUUUCAGAUAAACCUCAGCAAAUUCAUGAGAAUAGAGACUUAAUUUGCUAGAAUGCUACUCACAGUGAUUAUAAGGCCAAAUAAAAGAGGUUCUACUGUUGUUGGUCUACUGGCUGGUUUGGAAAAUCUGAAAGCCUAUAGGCUCCACACGUAAGAUAGUUUCCGGUUUCCCUGGGGACCAGUGCUCUAAUGUGACCCUAAGAUGAUAUCGAUAUGUCAUAUGUGUGCAUGGUAUAAAAGUGCUUUCAUGAAAGUUAGCAUAUCUGCAAAUUUUUUUAAAGCACCUAAAUUAAAUUGUGUCCAAUGCUACCUAUCUGGUUAUUUAAAAAAAAAAAAAUACCAGAAUCAUUGGAUAUUUUUAAAAUGUUAGUUUACUAGAUGCAUGUUAGGCUUGUUGAUUUUGCCAAUUGCAAGAUAAGUAACAUAGACUCGAAGUGGAAAUUAAGAUAUAAGAACUGUGGAAAGGCUGUAAGAAGUGUUAUUGAUAUGUGAAUAGGCAUCUCAAUAAAUAAAAGAAAAAUACUCAAAUUAUCAGAAAUAACCAGACAUUUCAAUAUGAAGGGAAAAAAUUAUGUUUGCAUUGACCUAUAGAACUAAAGACUCAAUAACAAUAGAUGCAUAAAUAUGUGUGCAUAUUUACAUGUGUUACCAUAAUAUUGUCAUGUCCAUAAAGAUAUUAUAAUCUUAUUAAGUUGAUAAUAUUUAUAAUAGCUGGAAAAAUUUCUCAGAGCUUUUAUUCCCCCAAUACAAUCUUAUAGGCAAAUAACAGAGCAUGAAUGUGAUGUUUAAGGCUCUUUCCACUCUAUAGCCAGAGCAAUUUGAGGGUGAGUCAAAACAUAAAAUUUACUGUGGCUAUAAAAAAAAAAAGAAAAAAAAUAUUGCUAAUA